rnacentral:tRNA from 1 species
UUUAAUAAAAACAGUGACUUUGGGUGUCAUAAAUCGCUACGGCGUCAUCUGAGGUCUGAAGG